GACAGCGCCCACGGCGGCCGCCAUCUUGGAGGAGGGCAAAGACGCUCCCGGCCCUCCCGCCCCUCCGCUCGCCUCAGUCGCCACCGCCAUCGAGGAACAGGAAGUAUUAUCAGUUCCUAGCGGGUAGAGGAUGUUUCUGACACACCUUAUAGCAUCUCCGAGUGCUAGAAGAACAGAGCUGACCAUAAGGAUCAGGUACUGUGCAUGAGCUCUUUUAGUUUUUAUAACGAUCUGUGAAGGAGGAAAUAUAAUUUCUCUAAUUUUAUAUGUGAUGAAACUGAAGCACAAGCUAUACAACUUCAGUGAGAAGCAGAGCUGGAACUGAUUCCACUUGGCUGAUUACCCAGGUCAGCUAGAUCCUACCCUCGUAUCCUGCAGUGCUUGCUUUCAGUGAACAGAAUAUCUACAGUAUUGUUGGAAUACUCAAGACCUGGGGGGGCCCCCACCAUCUGAUAUCUGAAAACAGACUUUCUGUGAAGCAGGAAUGAUGAUUUCCUGAGAACAAAUGCUUCACUAUCAAGACAUGGAAAGAUAGCACUCGGCUGCUAGUAACAAAUUGCACCAAAGUUACAAAUGCAGAACAAGCCUUGGUAAAUAUUAAUGACGAUGAUGAUUUUGUGACAUACUGAAAAUGUCAGAUUUUAGCAUUAUGAGCGUACUGUAGAUACUAGAAUGUAAUUGAACCAAAAUGAUGCUCGAGAGAAAUUUUGAAGUAAAUGUGCAAAUUAGGCUAUCUAGUAUAAACUAGAAGUGCCUAAGUCAUUCUUUUCCUUAGUAAAGCACAACCAAGUAAGGCUUUUUUUUGGCUGCUCUGUGCAGCAUGUGGAAUCUUAGUUCCCUGACCAGGGAUCGAACCCGUGCCCCCUGCAGUGGAAGCGUGGAUUCUUAACCACUGGACCACUAGGGAAGUCUCCCAGCAUGUAAGCCAUUUAUGCAGCAGAGCAUUUGUUUUUAGUUUCUGAGAUCUGUUUGGGUCAUCUAUAACUGGUGGCAUGGAAAGGAAAAGAAGGCUGCAAAGACUGAACAAACAGCAUGCACUGUGGUAGCCUUUAUUUAAAAAUUGUGAGCUAACUACAGUUGUAGUGUUCUCAGUUACCAUUCUGAUGGUAUAAUAAACUGGGAGAACAUUAACACAACUUCAAGAAGGCAUCAAAAAAACCUGUAAACAAACAUAAACACCACACAUGCGCGCACAUAUACAGCAUACACGCACACAAAGAUUAUAGUCUAAACAAUCAAAAGUGAUGAAGAAAAGCUUUGAAUGCUCUAAAUCAAAUUUAAAACACUUAUAAUAAACUGUGGCAAUACUGUGGCUAUAUGAAAAAUGUUGUAACUGCUUAAAAAGCAAAAAGAAAAAUACUGGCAAUUUGAAACUAGCAGCAAGAAGCAGAUAAAAAUAGAAUGGAAGAUAACAUAAGACUAAGUAACAUCAAAAUUCUAAUGUUGAUACUGUGUAGGAUUGCACUGAAGUAAUUUAAAAUUGGUUCUUAAGGAACUCUCAAAAAGUCCCUUGAAAUAUUAAACUGCUGCGCUUUACAAGCAGUGGAAAAGAAAAAAAGUAUUUGGAAUGUAACACACACACACAGAGGAAAUGUAUUAGGCAUUAUCAGUUUAUGGUCUUUGUUUAUGCCCUUCAAAAAGUUUUAUAAAGAAAAAUAUAAGUGCCAAUGUAGUGAAAGAAAGUUAAAAAUUCCUAAAGAUGCAAGUCUGAGUGCAUUUAUCAGGUUAAGAAUAUAUUUCAAGGUUGGGGGGCAAGGCAUAAUUGAUGCACAUUCAAGAAGAAAAGUCUCGUGGAAUCCAUAAGGUAAGUAGAGUUCUCUGGAGCAUGUUUAAAAAUGAAGGUAUAUUAAACUCAGAGUAUCCUGAAUGAGAUUCCAAAAUAUGUGGAGUUCUAUAGCUGAAACCUAUUUCAUAGUGGCCAAUAAAUAAUUAAGACUAACUUUUCAGCAAACUUUUUCAUACAUUCAAACACAAAAAUCUUUACCACACAUGCAGAGCUGAUAUUCUAAAACAGCGCAGGUAUGAGUCCUGGUUUCAGAAAAGCACAUUAACAAGGAUUUUUUUCCAUAGGUUCCUAUAAGAAUGUCUGAAGCUUCUAGAAAUCUUCAAAGAGGGGAUAAGUUUAGAUUUCCUACUGAUUUUGGAAGAAAGGAGAGUCUGUUUUUCCUAAGGAAGCCAGUCAUCCAUGAGCAGGAGACGUGUCUUCAG